rnacentral:rRNA from 1 species
CCUACGGGCGGCAGCAGUGGGGAAUAUUGGGCAAUGGGCGCAAGCCUGACCCAGCAACGCCGCGUGAAGGAAGAAGGCUUUCGGGUCGUAAACUUCUUUUAUGAGGGAAGAGCAGAAGACGGUACCUCUUGUAUCAGCCAUGGCUAACUCUGUGCCAGCAGCCGCGGCAAUACGUAGGUGGCAAGCGUUGUCCGGAUUUACUGGGGGAACAGGGCGUGCAGCGGGGAAGACAAGUCCGAUGGGAAAUCCGCGGCUCAACCUGGGGAAUGCAUUUGAAACUGUUUAUCUGGAGUUCCUGAGAGGUCAUCGGAAUUCCUUGUGUAGCGGUGAAAUGCGUAGAUAUAAGGAAGAACACCAGUGGCGAAGGCGGAUGACUGGACGGCAACUGACGGUGAGGCGCGAAAGCGUGGGGAGCAAACAGGAUUAGAUACCCCAGUAGUC